rnacentral:rRNA from 1 species
UACAGAGGGUGCGAGCGUUAAUCGGAAUUACUGGGCGUAAAGCGUGCGUAGACGGUAAUGUAAGUCGGGUGUGAAAGCCCCGGGCUCAACCUGGGAAUUGCAUUCGAGACUGCGUAGCUGGGGUGCGGAAGAGGGAAGCGGAAUUUCCGGUGUAGCGGUGAAAUGCGUAGAUAUCGGAAGGAACAUCAGUGGCGAAAGCGGCUUCCUGGUCCAGCACCGACGUUCAGGCACGAAAGCGUGGGGAGCAAACAGG